UCCCGCACCGUUGUGAUUGCGUUGAAAUAGAGAAUCCUUAAUCUUUAAUCCUGAUAUAAAGCUCAAGUCAGUCCUCCCUCCAAACUAAAGGUUUGGAGCGUCCUCAUACUACGGUGGACAGCGUCUUACUGACCACAGGUUUUUGGGUCACGACCUAAGUUUCACGAGAUCUGUUGAGGAGGGGAGGAGCUGUGUCAAAACACAUGUGUGGCACUGCAGGAAGGGGAGACAAUAUCGAUCCGGCAUUUGCAGUCAGCAAAUUCGUGCAGGGCGUUAUCUUAUCAUUUUCACACAACAGCAAAACCUUCCUUUCAACGAGCAUGACAUCCUUUCAUUGUUAGUUAAUAAACAAAAACACCGAGCCUCUCUGUUAUCUUCAUCAACAGAGUGUCUGCUCAGCGCAGAUCAGUGGAUGGACACUUCACUUCCUGGUCAGCUAGGGAGCCGAGCAGGAAACCUCCCUGUUAUCUCAAUAAACCAGUGACCAUCGCCGCUCAGUGCGCCACACACCAGGCCAUUGUUAGUUAGCAGAACAGGAAAGCGUUUCAACUUAUCUGAAUAAGACACUGCUCCGCGCAGGUCGAGGUAUCCGGGGCCUCGGUAAAACUUAGUAUACCGCUGGAAGUCACGACUCUCUCGGUAAACGCAUCCUCUCAGUACCAGAAAUGUAUAAAGAUGCUCAUUCGGUGCAAGGUAGUCAUCACUCGAGAUCAUGCAAGAAACCUCUUCAGCUUCGCUCCUCACUAACGCUCAGAUCCAUGCCGAGGGUCAGAACGCAAGCUCCAACCCACAACAUGGCAUACGCUUCUUUGACCUCACAGGUGUGGAGCAAGAAAAUGUACUUUUAACACCGUUCAACUACGGGUUUUUAAAUGGGAACGUUCUAUAAAGAUAACGAAGGAGUCCUCAGAAGAACUUGAAGUGAAGCACACCUCCCUCAGUCCGGGUAAAGUUACAGAAAUCAUCUUUUUCUUUAGCCCGACGGCAGCAAAAACGUUUUUGCAAAAUUAGGGUUGGUUUGCUUUUCUACAUUGAAACGUUUUACAAUUUUUUUUUUUUUUUAAAUGUGCAUUCUGUGUGUUUUAAAAGGGCCUUUCUACCACAAA